rnacentral:misc_RNA from 1 species
UGUGUCCCCGCAGGAGCGUG